rnacentral:rRNA from 1 species
UGCUUUUUGUAAAUAUAAAAAGUAUCACCUGCCCAAUGAUAUCAUUAAAUGGCCGCGGUAUUUUAACCGUGCAAAGGUAGCAUAAUCACUUGCUUUAUAAAUUAAAGCUUGUAUGAAUGGUAAAAUGAAAAUUUCACUGUCUCUUUAAAAAUUUUAAAAUUUAAUUUGUCAGUGAAGAAGCUUACAUUUUUUUAUAAGACGAGAAGACCCUAAUGAGUUUAAUAUAUAAUAAUUUUAAUAAAAAUAUAUAUUUAAUUGGGGUAAUUUAAGAAAAUAUUUUCUUAAAAAAGAAUUAACUAUUAGUCCCAUUAUUAAUGAUUAUUAGUAAAAAUUACCAUAGGGAUAACAGCAUAAUCCUUUUUAAGAGUACUUAUCGACAAAAUGGGUUGUGACCUCGAUGUUGGAUUAAGAGAAUUCUAUAAUGUAGUAAUUAUAAAAAUAAGUCNNNNCGACNNNAAAANNCNNAC